AUGGCAGGAAGUGUAUUACCCGCUUGGGUUCCGGAGAUGUUAGAGAAGGGUGAAACUUUGGAGACAUGUUUAGAAAUGUUGAAAAACAUGCAGUCUACUGAGAGAGAAGCUAGAAUGGAAGAGAGAGAGAUGAGAAAGAUAGAGAUGGAAAAAGAGGUACGUUUAAAAGAGUUAGAGAUUAGAGAGAAAGAAAUGGCUCAAGGUGUUGCACCACCACAGACACAUUCAAGUUUGAAGUCGAAACUUCCUAAAUUUAAGGAAGGUGAAGACCCAGAUGUAUUUUUAAGGUCCUUUGAGAAAUUGGUGGUUUUGCAUAAAAUACCCAAGUCUGAGUGGGCCCUUAGAUUAGUCCCUUUACUUUGUGGGAAAGCUUUAGAGGCAUUUUCUAGAUUGUCUGAAGAGGACAGUAAAAAUUAUGAUAAAAUUAAAUCUGCUAUUUUAUGUAGAUACGAGCUUACUGCCGAGGCAUACAGGGAGAAGUUCAGAAGUGAACGCCAGUCUUCGGAUGAGUCAUUUAAGGAAUUUUCAGUCAGACUAGUAGGUUUUCUUAGACAUUGGUUGGAGCGUGAGUUGAUAGGCACUGAUUUUGAUAGAUUUGUUGAUUUAGUUACUAGAGAACAGUUAAUGGUAAGUUGUAAUAAAGAGCUCAAACUUUGGAUCAAGGAACAGAAACCGAAAACAAUUGAUGAGUUGGUAGACAAAGCUGAGGCUUUUCAGCAAGCACAUAAAGAUGAACAGGUAAGUUCUAAAUCAGUUGGGAGAAUUGACACCGACCAAUCUAAACAACAAGGUAGAUAUAACCAAUCAAAAGGAAGACAACCUGACACUAGGACUUGUUUUAUUUGUAAGAACAUUGGUCAUAUAGCUACGCACUGUCCUACAAGGACGAACCGGUCAAAGGAGGAUAAUUUUAAGCCAGGUAAGUUUGGUUUGUGCAUACAGAGUAGACAGGAGUAUAGAGUAGAUGAUUAUAUUAGUGGUGUGACUGUUAAGUUGCCUGGUGUUUUCAUGUAAUGGCGACAAGGUACAGGUACAUGGACUUGAUAUAGUAGAAGGUAAGAUCGAUAGUGAUAAAAUCUCAGUUUUGAGAGAUACAGGUUGUUCUACUGUAUUUGUUCAUAGUAGGUUUACUAACCCAGAUUGUCUUACAGGUCAGACUAGAGACAUAUGUUUAGCAGAUGGUUCAGUGAAGCAGUGUCCAGAAGUAUGUAUUAAUAUUUCUACUCCUUAUAUUUCAGGUGAUAUUAUUGCAUUGAUCUUAGAUACACCGUUUGCAGAUCUGAUUGUUGGAAACUAUGUGAACACAUCAGUACCACAUAGUGUCGAUGGUUUAUCAGUGACUAGUGGAGAAGAUAUUUUUGUUUCAGGUGACUCAGUCCCAUGUCAUGCAGUUGAGACUCGAUCUCGAAAGAAGAAGCAGGAUGAAGCAGAUAGUAUGAUUGAUCAGACGAAUGUUCAGCGUAGUAGCGAUAUACCUAUAUCUCAUUCUAUAGAUUUUUCAGACGUAUGCCAUGAUUUUAAGAUUUGUGAUAGGAAGCAGUUGAUUGAGUUACAGAAGACAGAUGAGACUUUGGAUAAGGUAAAAUCUUAUGUAAGUGAUGUGCAUGAUAACCCAGCAUCUUAUUUUAUAUAUAAUUCAGAUUUACUAUAUAGAGUGUAUACUAAGCCAAGUGGUGAAGUUAUUCAGCAAAUUGUAUUACCAAGCAAGUUGAGAGGAACAGUUCUUUCGUUGGGACAUGAUAUUCCGUUGGCAGGUCACCUUGGGAAUAAUAAAAAACAAGAGACAGAAUCAUGCAGCACUUUUUCUGGCCAGGUAUAUUUAAUGAUAUUGCCGAAUACUGUAGGUCUUGUCCAGAUUGUCAGAUAGGUACAUCGAAGGGUAGAGUACCACGUGCUCCAUUGAUUAGCAUACCACCUAUGGAUGAGCCAUUUCAGCGCAUUGCUAUUGAUUUUGUUGGCCCUUUGCCUAUGACUGAUGACAAAAACCGUUAUGUACUUGUUUGCGUCGAUUAUUCCACUAAAUAUCCAGAAGCAAUUCCUUUAAAAGAUCAAGAAGCUUCUACAGUCGCUAAUGCUCUUAUAAGUUUAUUUUCUAGAGUUGGCAUACCCAGGGAGCUGUUGACAGACCAAGGCAGUAACUUUAUGUCAGAGCUGAUGGUUGAGGUAUGUAGACUAUUAAAGAUAAGUAAGUUACGCACUAGUCCUUAUCAUGCUAUGUGUAAUGGACUCUGUGAAAAGUUUAACGGUGUACUGAAGAAAAUGUUGAAGGCAUAUGCACGACAGACACCAAAAACAUGGGAUGCAUAUAUCCCUUACUUAUUAUUUGCAUAUCGGGAGGUACCAAAUGAGAGUACUGGUUUCUCACCGUUUGAAUUGUUAUAUGGCAGGCACAUUAGAGGACCUCUAGCAGUACUUAAAGAAGAGUGGGAAGAGCCUAGUACAUGUCAAAACUCUGUGUUGAGUUAUUUAUUAGACACUAGAGAAAAGUUGAGAACAAUGGCUGAGUACGCCAUUGAAAAUGAAACAAAAGCGAAACAAAGACAGAAGUUUUAUUAUGAUAGAAAAGCUAGAGACAGAAAGAUUGAAGUUGGUCAAAAGGUGCUUAUAUUAUUGCCUACACAUACAUCAAAGCUGUUAGCGAGUUGGAAAGGACCAUUUAUAGUGACUGAUAAAGUUAGUCCUGUUGACUAUAAGGUCAAGGUUAGAGGAAAAGACAAAGUAUUUCAUGUAAAUAUGUUGAAGUUAUGGCAUGAGCGGGUAGAUAAUGAUCUUGAUAAUAAUGUCACAACAGAUAUUGCUGCGUGCUUAAAUGUAAUUUCAGGUCUUAACACAGAUGAAGGCACAGAUGAUAGUGAGAUGACUACAGAUAUAACUCCAGUGUUGAAAAGCAAAGAAAAUGUAGAUGACGUUACGAUCUCACCAGAAUUGACAACUGUCGAAAAACAGCAGCUUAAAGAAUUACUAUCAGAAUAUGAAGACAUCUUUAGUGACGUACCUAAGGUAACAAAUAUUAUAGAACAUAGAGUAGUUACAAAAACAGAUGAACCGAUUUACCAACGUCCGUACCCACUACCAUACGCACUUAGAGAUAAGGUCAGAGAAGAGAUUGACAAUAUGUUAGCUGCAGGUAUAGUUGAGCCGUCUGACAGUCCGUAUGCAGCUCCGAUAGUACUGAUCAAGAAAAAAGACAACACACUUAGAUUUUGUGCCGAUUAUCGUUCCUUGAACAAACAGACUAUCUUUGACCCGAUUUUUAUGCCACGCAUGGAUGAGGUACUGAAUAAAGUCAGCAGAGCACGAUAUAUCAGUAAACUUGAUUUAACUAAGGGCUAUUGGCAGGUACCACUUGAUAAAGAUAGCCGACAGAAGAGCGCAUUUAUAACGCCGUUCGGACAUUAUCAGUUUACUGUUACUCCAUUUGGUAUGAUGAACUCAGGUGCUACUUUUGUUCGUAUGAUGGAUAAAGUUCUGGCAGGAUACGAGGAAUUUGCUGACUCGUUCAUUGAUGAUAUUGGUAUAUUUAGCGAUACAUGGGAGUACCAUAUUGAGCAUUUAAGGGCAGUAUUCGAUUCACUGAGACAGGCAAACCUCGUUGCAAAACCGAGUAAGUGUUUAUUUGGCUACGAUGAGCUUGAGUUUUUAGGACAUAUUGCCGGCGGUGGCAAGAUUAAGCCUGUUCAGGACAAGGUAUCUGCUAUACAUGAAUUUCCAGUGCCUGUCACGAAGAAACAGGUGAGAUCAUUUCUCGGUCUGAUAGGUUUCUACAGGAAGUUUAUACCACAGUUCUCCGACAUAUCCGUACCUUUGACUGACCUUACAAAGAAAAACGAACCAAAUAAAGUUAAAUGGUCAGACACAACACAAAAAUCUUUUGACAAGCUUAAAGAAUGUAUUUGUAGUGACUCUGUAUUACGGAGUCCAGAUUUUUCUAAAAAGUUUAUUUUGCAGACUGAUGCGUCCGGUAAGGGUCUAGGUGCUGUACUAGAGCAAGAAUUUGAUGACGGAAGGCGUCCAAUUAUGUUUAUCAGCAAGAAACUCUCUGGAGCGGAAUGCAACUACGCAGUGGUAGAAAAGGAGUGCUUUGCCAUAGUGUGGGCGGUUAAAACUUUGAGAAACUAUCUAGAGGGUAAAGAGUUUGCUAUUAAUACUGAUCAUGCUCCUUUACAGUGGUUACAGAGGAUGAAAACCAGUAACCAACGGUUACUCCGUUGGAGUUUGAUACUUCAGGAAUUUAAUUAUACAGUUUUUUACAUUGCAGGCAAGACAAACAUUGUUGCAGAUGUUUUGUCUAGAUGUGGCGAUAUUUAGAUAACCCCUGAGUGUGACGUUAUUACAGCGUUAUUGUGUUAAUUUUGGUUUUAUUUUAGUGUUACAGGACUGAAUUUUUUUAUGUUUGAUGUGUACAUAUUUGUUUUUUUUUUUUUUUUUUACUGAUAUAGCUUAAUUUCAGAUUAGAUUUUGAAGUUUGUUGUUUCUGGUCGGACUAAAUGUUCUUUAGUCUCCUGGAAAGGGACGUUUGUAACAAACUUCAGUUAAUUAUUUAUAUGAUUUAUUUUACACCUAGGACUAUAUUUUAUGUUAUCUCUUAUUUUCACUAACACCGGUAAUCUAGUCAAGCAGACCUUGUUUAUCACGUGAUUACGCACCUAUUGAAAUUUAACAGGUGAGUCUCAAAUCAGUCGGCACAUGAUCAUUGAGAGUAGCACACGUUUGUGCAGUUGGGUUUGUGGUUUAGAUAGCAAUUUGGACAUUAUAAUUGUCAGGACAGGACAUGGAUGUCCAAAGGCUAAUUGAAACAACACUCAGGUAAGUUAUUUUACUUAUAUUUUAUGGUACAUUGAGGUCAAUUUGCUGUCGAGAUGAUAUUUCUUGCUCGCGGUCCAAAUGUACGGAUAAUUGCCAUAUUAUUCAUAUUUAUAGAUAACGUAAGUAAUUUUUGGGUUCAAUUAUUAUUUUGCAGGGGUUUUUAGGCCCGGUUUUAGUGUGCGUUGGCACGUUGCUAAUUGUCGACUGGUCGGAGAUAAUGGUGUCGAUGAAUUAAUGGUGUCGGGGUUAAAAAUGGUAACAACUCGGUGAUAUAUUGGUUGGAGUUACAACGCAUGGAGGCGGUGAUAAAUUUAUAGUCCGUUUCUAUUUAUUUGGAGCAAAAAGUCCGUAAAAUUAUAUACAUUUUUAGUUGAGAAAUCGAGAAGUCCGUGCAGUAUUUAUGCAGUUUAAAGCAGUUAUAGUUUGU
rnacentral:sRNA from 1 species